UCAACUGUGAUGUAAGAAAUCCAUAGUUGGGC
rnacentral:piRNA from 1 species